GUACAAAAUUGGUACAGCUCUGUUUUGUAUUGAAUGUCAAUAGUUAGCAAGACGAGUUAGUUAGAUAUAAUCAGCUAUAGCCUAGUUCAGUCCGCUCUCAACUUUGGUAUCUGAUUGUAGCCUAUAAUGGCAGUAUCUUACCUUCAUUCGAAAAUUGCCAAACUAUUGUUUUGAUACUGCGACAGCUUCUUAUUCUUCGAGUGGCCUAUAUGUACGACGUGUGGGAGAGGAUAUGGUGUAUUUCGAACAAAUGUACAUUUUACAUGUUUUAUAACGCGUUGGGAACUUCCCUCGGGGAAUCCCCCGCGCCGUGAGACUUCCGCCUUGCUGGACUCUGACCAAUCAACUUUGAGAUAAAUCCAACCCACUUCAAUAGGUCUGAACACAGUCUGUGGGCGAGCAGGUGAGCAGAAUGUCUAGCUGACGGCCCUCCACGCAGGAGUGUGAUGAUUUGUAACUAUGCAGCACAAAUAUGGCCAUUGGAGUCUGAUGUUUCUGCUUGGCUCUGCCUGGGGACUUGUCCUUCACCAGCCUCAUCCAACCUCAACACAACAUAGCAAUUCUUAAUUACUAUUAUAACACUUGUUUAAGGGGGGGGGGUUAUUUUAAUUCAGCCAGAACAACCAAUGUGGUGAGCUGAAAUAGGGUUCAUUAUUGCCCUUGUUUUCCUGGCAAGCAGAUCAGGUGAUAACAUGUGGCAAGAUUAUAAGUGAGAGAUGCCUCUUAAUGUGGUACGUUCAAUGUCUGCAAUCCCCUUUGACUUUAAUUAAAAGGUACUGAGUGUAGGCAACACCGAAGUACAUUCCUCAACUGUCUUCUUAGCUAAAGUACUCAUCUGGAACGUUUAAAUGGCCGGGCCCCAUUUGAAUUAGAACACUGACGGCACAAUCCGUAAAUUAUAUUUCUGCUACACCUGCUACGGCACAGCUUUGAUUAACAGGUUGUAGCAUAGAGGCUAUUACUUCAGCAUGAUACAUUACACCUCCACCACUAGUCCGUCAAUGAAUGCAUGCAUCGCAUGGAUGUCUUCUUCUGAUUUUGCAGAUCUCGGACAAGGAACUCCAGAUGCUUUUACUGCGCCAUGUUCUUUACGUGUGUGUGUGUCAUGAAUGACAUCCACAAAAAGGACACUCCACUUCCUGUUGAGAGGUGGUCUGUCCUGUUGGAUUCAUAGCCCUCUGGAUCUGGACAUAAGCAUGCAAGUAAAUCUUGGCCAAUCUGAUGCCUCCGAAGCAAGUCAAAUAAACAAACUGCUGUAGGUCUGCAGAAACGGGAGAUCAGGCGGAGGGCAGAGCCGAGCGUCAGAAAGCUCAGGCAUGCCAGGGGAAAUGAAGAGGAAUGCACAGAGAAAACUCAAAGAUCAUAUUUCAGGAACCUGGAGAACAAACAAUUUGACAGUGUGUGAAAACCUUGUGAAUACUUACAGAAAACAUUUGGGCUCUGUCAUUGCCAACAAAGGGUAUACAACAAAGUAUUGAGAUAAACUUUUGUUAUUGACCAAAUACUUAUUUUCCACC